AGCGUACAUAUGGGCCACAAAAUAAGGUGCAAGCUAGUAAUAACAACCACAAAAGUCUUAAUCAUCGUCAGAUGAAGAAGAUAUCUCUUGAUGGACAUGAGCUCUGGACAAGGACUGCCACAUCGGUUUCUAGUCCUAUUAGAAGGUCCGACACCAGUGAAGGGAUAAGAAAGUCCGAAAGAAAAAGAGGGUUGGAAGGGUCUAUAGAUAGUCAGUAUGGGCUGACUAGGGGGCUAUAAAGAGCAAGAACUCUAAAAACUAUGUGGGUUUUGAAUAAAUAAGGUUGAGAUAUCAGCUUCUCCAUGGACUGCAGAAGAGAGGUGUUCCUUAUAGUGACAUUGUCGCUAGAGCCUCUCAUCUCCUCCCUCAGCUGCCAAGUUGCUGACUCUAUCAUCCCUUGCAGCCCUCCUGCUUCAACUAUCAACUCAGAUAAAUGAGUAGUAUUAUGAAUGCUUGAUCCAGUAUAUCAUAAUAGUUUUCUUAUCUCUCCCUCUGGAUUAAAAACUCUGCUAUUGAGCCUGGUAAUAUAUACUCAAGUUGCUCAACUCUCAUGCUCUGAUAAAAAAUUAUCUGAGUAAUCAUGGAGAUGUGGGGUAUCAUGGACAUAUCAACUAAAGGAUUCAUGUAAUGACUCUCUCCUAAGUAGUGCUCCAGACUCCCAGAAGAAUACCGGCAACUUCCUUUAAGAUCACCCAGACUUGGACAUCCUCCAACCUGAAAGAUGAAUAUCAAGAACUACUCAUAAGCUGAGGUGGCUGGGGCUCACGUUGAAUAGACUCAGUGAGUCUCUGUCAACUAUAUCAGAAAAGGAACUUGCUUCAUGCUCAGUAGAAAAAUGAACCUCUUGGCUCAAUCCAGACUCUCAAGGAGGGAAAGAGGGUCCAUCUCUCUUAGCUCUAUCAUUAUCAUCCUCAUCCUCACUAGCUCUAUCUACUCCUCUAAAGCCCAUCCAUCAUAAAGAAUGAUUAUUGUAUGUAUCAGCAUGUGCCAAGCGACUGGUGGCUUUUUCCUUAGCACUAACUCCAAACCUCUUGAACAUGUAAGUGCCAUCCCAUAAGGUAAAAGGGCCUUGGACCGACUCAUGGCCUCACUCAUAGCCUCAAUUAUGAGAGCGAAGAGAUUUAGAGGAAUUUCAUAAACAAUGUGGUACAUAAUGCAAAUAUCCUGAUUAUAAAUAAAAUUAUAUCUUCUCAUCCUAAGAAAGAAAAUCCUACAAACAAUAUGGUGGUGGAGUCUUAUCUCUACAUUAAGAUGCUUUGCUUCAAUCUCAUCCAACUUCCCACAUUCUCUCUACCAGUGAUGCAUUGUAAAUAAAUACUCCUUUGUUCUAGCUUAUCAGUCUUAGUCCCCUCUCAAGGAAGAAUGUGAUCAAAUGUGCAUGUGUUUAUGUGAAUCUUAACACCCUUCACUAAGGAAGCUACUCUAUCAUUAUUAUACUAAAAAUUUUGGUACAGACUAAAUCAAUAUAAAUGGGGAUGUUGAUCAUGCAUAAAAAAUCUCAUCCUUGUUCCUUAUUCUUCUCUCCAAUGAUAGAACCCUCUUGCUUUAGAAACUCAAAUCUAUAUUCUAUUCCAAUGAAACAUUUCUAGUGGAGAGAGGUAUCUUGCUUGGAGUCUUUGGGGGAGAAGAUGGGGCUUGAGCUUGAGGUGCCUUCUUCCUCCUUUCUUCUUCUUCUUGAACUCGGGCCAACUUUCUUCUUUAAGAAAACGUCAUCUAGGGAGCCAUGGAGAAGAUGGGGAGCAAGAUUCACCCAAAAGAAUAUAAUGGGGUCCUAGAUCUUGAGGUAUAGAAGUGGGAGAUGGGAUUUUGAAGCAAGAUAGGGUCUAUAUCUUGAGAGUUUUAAGUGGGAAGAGGAUUUGGGACAAAUGGGGCUCUAAAUCAUGAUGGUUUGAGGUGGGAAGAAGAUGUGGAGUGCUAAAUCUAGUGGAUUUGACGUAAGAAUGAUAGUUGUGGGAGAAAAGGAGCCUUAGAUCUAGAGGUUUUUGAGUGGGAAGGAAGGUUUUCGGAGGAAUGGAGUGGAGAAGAGAGGGUUUUGGGGAGGAAGAAAUACCAUAGAAGAAGGUUUGGCAUAGGAAAGGGGCUUCAGCCUUUUUUUAUGUGCCACCUAAAAAAAAAUCGCAUCAAUGUCACCCCUU
rnacentral:lncRNA from 1 species